UACAAAUAUAUAUUUUAAGUUUUUCGAGAAGCGGCUUGGGACAUUUAACUGACGGAAAGCAAACCUUUCAAAUUCACAAAACACACAAUCAAAGCAUACUUGAUUAUGCUUUCAUUUUGUAUGCGAGGUUUGGAUAUUGUUAAAAAAAAAAAUAUAACCUAUUCGGCCACAUACAAAACCAAAACAAAAUUUGGUAAAGCCACAACGGAACACUAGAUUUGUAUAAGAGAAUGAUUCGAUCUUAGUUCAACUUUUGGUGAUGAAACAUCAUGCGAAAAACUGGCAAAACGAAUUCAGAAGUGUACGUCCGUCGCUGCACAACGAAUCCCAUUGAUUGUCAAAAACAGUUGUUAGUUUGGCUCUUGCAAUAUCGCCAUAUGACAUACCAUAAGAUGGAGUUGUUUUCCGAAACUAAGGGGACAAAGAUACAUUUGAAAUACAUUAUCAUUAACGAUAUCGUGAAGACAGCAUAACAUUCGUCCCUAAAAUGGCUUUUAGAAUUAGGGACAGACAACAUCUGGACCAUACCAAAAUAAUGAUAUGCUUAAUGAUAUCGUGAAGACAAAAUUUGUUGAAUAUUUAUGAAAAUUAA